rnacentral:snRNA from 1 species
AUACUUAACCCGGCAGGGGAGAGACUGAUCAAGGAGAUGGUCGUGGUGGGUCGAGGCUUAUUCUUUGCACUCUAGGUGUGCUGACUUUGGAGUUCCUCAAAUACAGGAAACUUGACCACAUAAUUUUUGGUAGUGGAGGAAUACAUAUUUGCUCUUG